rnacentral:lncRNA from 1 species
UCUCUUCCUCCUCAUCCUCUCUCUCUCUCUCUCCGAUGAAGAAGGUGAAGGGGGUGAUGAUGGCGAGGGACAUAUCGACAACAACGACGAUGAGGGUGAGCCCAUACCUUCAUCAAUGACGACAACGACAACAACGAGAGGGUGAGUUCUUUCUUUUCCCCUAUUUUUUUUGUGGUUUUUAGUAGAUUCCAAAGAUUUUUCUCAUAUUUGUUUUUCUGAAUUUUUAUUAAUCAAUAUUGGCCAUGUUGGUUGUCCAUACCUUCAUGACGAAUAGAGAAUAUGUGUGGUUAAUUUGCAGUCCGUAGUUAUAUGCUUUAGACAAUUAAUUUACAUGUGGGUUUCUUUUUUCUUUCUUUUUUUCUUUUUGGAAUAAGGAUUUUCAUUCAAUUUAUUAUUAUUUUGAUUUAUUUUUUUAGAACAGUGGGUUGCUAUUUCAUGAGGGAGAUGGCAAAGUUGCAGUCCAUGUCAUGUAUUCUUGGCCUUCUUCCCUGAUGCUUCUAUUACUUUCUUGUAAAAUGGUUUUGAAGAGAUCUGGUCUGUCUUUGGAGGGAUUUUUUCGUGAAUAUCUCUUUCGUUUUUGAUUUCUUUAUUCUUUCGCUUUUGUUAAAUAACUGACAAUUGAUAAAGUUUUGAAUGCUUUAUAGGUUGGGAAAAGUUAUUUAUACCUAGUGUGGAAGCAAGAAGCUAUUACAUUUUCUCAGUUUCUUGAGAGGAUUAAGGCUAAUGGCUCUUCCUCUGCUGCCCCAACAUAUCUUGAGAGGAUUUGCAUCUCAUAUUCACCAAAUGCAACUUUUGAAAUUAUUCUUAUAAACUGGUACUUUUAAACUUUUAUUAAUUUGUUCUUUUGUGUUUUUGGUAGAAACAGAUCAUUGGAGCUUCUAAGAUGCGGCAACAAAGAAAAUGGAGCUGUAAUUUAAAAUUUGGUCGUAAUUUAGUUUGCUUCAUUAUAAAUUUGGUUAUAAUUU